CCUCUUAUUCCCUUAAACUAAGUCGAUUUGAUCUCUUUCCUAUUCCCCUUCUAAGUAAUUGUUGUCAUAUCUUAUUCCAUCUUCUGUUGUGAGUUUGUGUUUAAAGUGAUGAGAUAGUUUUUAGUUUCAUGU